GAUGAACGCUGGCGGCGUGCCUAAUACAUGCAAGUCGAGCGAACAGACGAGGAGCUUGCUCCUCUGACGUUAGCGGCGGACGGGUGAGUAACACGUGGAUAACCUACCUAUAAGACUGGGAUAACUUCGGGAAACCGGAGCUAAUACCGGAUAAUAUAUUGAACCGCAUGGUUCAAUAGUGAAAGACGGUUUUGCUGUCACUUAUAGAUGGAUCCGCGCCGCAUUAGCUAGUUGUUAAGGUAACGGCUUACCAAGGCGACGAUGCGUAGCCGACCUGAGAGGGUGAUCGGCCACACUGGAACUGAGACACGGUCCAGACUCCUACGGGAGGCAGCAGUAGGGAAUCUUCCGCAAUGGGCGAAAGCUUGACGGAGCAACGCCGCGUGAGUGAUGAAGGUCUUCGGAUCGUAAAACUCGGUUAUUAGGGAAGAACAAAUGUGUAAGUAACUAUGCACGUCUUGACGGUACCUAAUCAGAAAGCCACGGCUAACUACGUGC
rnacentral:rRNA from 1 species